UUUGCAGGACUGUUGCGGAGCAGGCAGGAAGCUGUCAUUCGUGCUUAACUGAAGCAGUUCAUGUAUUUGUUGCAAACUGAGAUCUCCGUGACAGGCACAAAGCGUCUGCGAUAUAGCCAUGGAGAAGCGGCCAGAGACAGAGACCGAGGAGUGCAUAGUGAAAGCCGAGCCGAUCCAAGACGUGCGCCUGGUCGAGCUCUUCCCUUAGGUUCGAGAAGAUGGCUCCCAGAAGCACGGAAAUGAAGACGGCAAGCAACAGACGACAAAUUCCUGAGCGGCGUGCUCACCGGAAGUGGCGAUGAUGCAGAGGAUGUCACCACCACGGACUUCGAAUGGCAGUCCCUCGUCAAGGAGCAACUCAACUCGCGGACAACGGAACAGCCGCUGACCCAGGCUGGAGAGAUUCAGCUCGGACGUCAGGUCUCGAACCCGCCUCAGAGUGGCCAUACUUAUCGUCGCGAAGACGUGGUCAUUGGCUCCAUUGCCGAGUAUUCCGACAAACGCGUGGUUACGCACACACAUAAAUAAAGACUCGCAACACCGCUGGCCAAAAGGCUAGAAGACAACGACGAUGGCUACAUGUAACGCCCAUGACGUGCAAGACGACUCAUACUUAGUGUACCACGAGUCGAGCUGACUAGUGUUUGCGAGGUAGGUCGUGGGUAGCCGAAAUAGAGUACCGAUAACACGAUGGCCUACCGAGUUAUCGAGUUCGUAAAAGCAGAGGAAAGAAGAGUGAAAUUUAUAAGCACGGUUCCUUGGACUAGUUGGUUAUAUACAUGGAUUGAGGUCACAGCGAUCGUCCUGUUUAGCUCUUAUCAGUGUUUUCCAGCUCUAACUUGUAACUGAGCGUUUAUUUCCAGAAAACCACCUCGUAUGUAGGGCCGCGCACCGAAAUAGUCCCAAUCAUCCCACAUGGAAGGAUGAAAGAUGCGGGAGCAGCAUUCAGCUCGGUCUACGCUAGUGAAGAGAGCAAUGGCUAACCUGUCUUCACAACGCGCUCAAGCAAUCACGCUCCCAUAAUAUUUCUAGAAGUUUUGACAAACAAAAAGCGUGUAUGGAACUAUGGUUGCCCUGACCAUGUAUCAGUAGCCGGAAGUGCGUGAAACAUAAUAGCAUGCACAUGAGCAGUAAUAAUAUGUAAAAGGUCGUUGUGCCUAUUUGCAUAUUUGCGUACUAAAGAAGCUUGGACGAGAGGUUAAAGUAGAUGCAGUAAUUUUUGCUCCGGAGAAAUUGCUCAGCUUAUACAGCGCCACUGAUCCGUCUGUUUAAAAAAAAAGCGCAGAUGGGAAAAAAUCUACCCCCUCUAGUGCCAUGCGUAAAGAAUGUCUAUUGCAUUCGGUUAUCAUGCAGGAAGUUUUACACUGGACAGCCUGAAUGAUAGGUUAAGAGAACGUAACCGGACAUUGCAUCGAUGCUAAGAUGGUUGUCUGUGCAGUCCGGUCAUUUCGGGCGUAAACUCGCGUUUACGAAGAGCUCCGUUUUAUUUGAACUCAAAGUUAGGCGAGAAGUUGACGCUGCUUUGAUAGCGAGGACCUCUGAUAGCUGCAUUAGUUGCCCUUCACUUGCCCUGACUGCAAGUCAAUUUGCGUUCCUGCAAGCGGGCGAUUUUCGUGAGCGGUGGUUGGGACCUUUUCGGUGUGCGGACCUACGACUACGUUGCUUUUAUGGAAAUAAACGCUCUCUUGAAAGUUGGCGCUCGUAGUGUCUCGCUCUUGUCUGUGUGUUCCAGUGCCGUGACCC